UAUAAUUUUUGACUCUUCGUCAUAUUUAAAAUUUUUUUGCAAUUAAUAUUUUUGUUUUUAUUAGAUGAUAAAUCGUGAAUAGUACUUACGUGUGACUAUUUUUUUUUUAAUUUUCUAAAAAUUUUUCAAAUAAGACGGAUAGUUAAACAUUGGACAUGGAAA
rnacentral:pre_miRNA from 1 species